CAUAGGGUGGAUCUCGGCCCUCCAAAACAAAUCCAAUGGCUGAGAUUCGUCCACAUCAUCACGAGUUAAAAUUUAACUCCAGUAAAUUUGAACUCCUGAAAUUUUACUCCUAGUAAAUUUUUACUCCUGCGAGUUAAAUUUUAACUCGUGAUGACGCGGACGAAUCUCAGCCGUUGGAUUUAUUUUGGAGGGCCGAGAUUAACUCUAUG
rnacentral:pre_miRNA from 1 species